AAGAAAUUAGGUUCAAUC
rnacentral:tRNA from 2 species